rnacentral:rRNA from 1 species
UACGAAGGGUGCAAGCGUUGUCCGGAAUCAUUGGGCGUAAAGAGCGUGUAGGCGGCCAAGCAGGUCCGCUGUGAAAACUCGAGGCUCAACCUCGAGACGUCGGUGGAAACCGUUUGGCUAGAGUCCGGAAGAGGAGAGUGGAAUUCCCGGUGUAGCGGUGAAAUGCGCAGAUAUCGGGAAGAACACCCGUGGCGAAGGCGGCUCUCUGGGACGGUACUGACGCUGAGACGCGAAAGCGUGGGGAGCAAACAGG